rnacentral:rRNA from 1 species
UGGCGUACGGGUGAGUAACACGUGGGUGAUCUACCCUUUAGUGGGGAAUAACGCUGGGAAACCGGCGCUAAUACCGCAUAAGCUCGAGAGAGGAAAGCAGCAAUGCGCUGAAGGAGGAGCCCGCGGCCGAUUAGCUGGUUGGCAGGGUAAAAGCCUACCAAGGCAUAGAUCGGUAGCCGGCCUGAGAGGGCACACGGCCACACUGGCACUGAAACACGGGCCAG